AGUGCAUUUAAAAAGGCCACUUCCCGUGUCCCAGGUCUCUUUCACGAAGAAGGUCUGGGGAGCACGUGGUCCCACCCAGCCGCAUGGUUCUGUCUUCGUUGGUCGAGAUGCCGCACCACGCCGUUUCCGCUCUGGUUACUCGGGAGUGGGGUUGGGUCACGUGAGCGUCACUUUGCAUAAUUUAGCGAGGAUGAACAGAACUGCUACGCUGCUGGGAGGUUGAAGAUGCCUUUCUUACUCUGGCCUGAUUAAGCCACGUGUGCCAGUUUAAAGGCCUGCAGUGUUCGCUUUGGAAAAAGCUACCAGGCGACUUGUCAAGACCACCAAAUUAAAUUAUAAUGUUUGUUUACCCAUUGCAUUGUACUAUAAUGUAUGAUAAUAAAGGCAACUUUUAAAGUGACUUUUAUUUAUUU
rnacentral:lncRNA from 1 species